GACAAGCCCUUUUGAGAAUGAAUUACUUUAUGGAUAAAGGUAGCAAGAUUGUCCUUAAACCUCUUAGCUUGAGCCCUAGUGAUCGGUCCAGUCUUCAUCCGUAUCGGAUCAGUACCCCAGUGAGUUGUUGGUGGUGCGAGCUCAGGCGGGUUUGCAUCAAAAUGGGAGCAGCCUAAACCAUGAAAAUAGGAUUUUGGGAAAGCAAUACAAGUGUCAUGCUGCUAGGUAAAAUGGUGGAGUGCUGCACCCUAAAUGGGGAAAGUCCAAAAACCGAAAGUAUCACCAGCUUACGCUCUAACCCGAGUAGCAUUGGGCACUUGGAAUCCCAUGUGAAUCAGUAAGGACCACCUUGCAAGGCUAAAUACUCCUGGGUGACUGAUAGUGAAGCAGUACCGUUAAGGAAAGGUGAAAGGGUGAUACGAACCUAGGACGACCUGCUCCUAAACCCGUAUUAUAUUAGCCCGGAUCUUAAUUAAGUUCAAGUUCUAAUGGAAUUGACCUCAACCCCUAACCAACCUAUGGUUAGAAACCUUGGUAUAAUGUAGACGCCACAAUAGGGGAUGGAAAAACUACUGAUAAGUCAAGCUAAAACAACCAAUUCUCUAAUGGUGUUUUAGGUGUUCUCAAAGAACAAAGAGAUAAUUAAUCUCACAAGUAUUUUCUUAAUCAAAUCCAAGUUGUAUUCAUAUUGAAAAAUAAGCCUUUAAAUAAGCUUGAAAGAAACAAAACAAACCCUAAAAAAUUAAUUCAAAACCGGACUCCUAUAGGAAUUAGGAAACUUGACCGAAUUCUAAUAUGUCCUAAACUAAGUUUCCUAAACAAAAAUUGAUUAAUUAAUUCCUUUAUUUUGAAUUAGGAAUUAAUUAAUUUACAAUGAAAAUAAUAAAAUAAUAACUUUCAUAAACUUAUUUUUCAAGAAAUUAAAUAAAUAAAAAUUAAAAAGUAAUGGUAAUUUCCUAAAACAAAAAGUAUAAUUAAAUUAGGAAACUAUAAUACUAGCUUUUUGACUAAGUUGACUUUGACCAAUCUUUGACCAAAUUGAGCUCCAAAUCAGCUUCAAUAGACUUUUUAUUUGACUUUGACCAAUCUUUGACCUCUUUGAGCUUCAAAUCAGAUUCUAGAUGCUUUUUAGGAUCCCAAAUAAGCUGAAUAUGAAGUCCCACACGUUUCCCAUGCUUGGAAAAAUAAGAAAAGGCUAAUACAGUAAAAUACAGUAAAGCCAGCAAGCAAUACAGUAAAUUCGGCCAAAUUCUUGAUGCUGUCCGUACAAGCCCUUUUUGAUUGCAUUUGAGGCUGCUUUAACUUGAUUCCAUGACCUAUUAGGCAUAUGUAUUGAACCCAUAAAGCAUUGGAACCAUUUCGUGCUUCCCGGACUCCAAAAAUGUACCAAAAUCGUCAUCCGGGUUCGUAUCGGCUUCCACCACUUGGAUGCUUAGAAUAGGCUUUGUAUCUUCAAGUAUGGACAAGCUCUGUUGAGAUUGAUUACCCCCUGUAUAAAUACUUCCAGUUUGUCCUUAAAUCUCUUAAUUUGAGCUCUUGUGAUUGGCCUAGUCUUCAUCCGUGUCGAGUUAGCACCCCAGCGGGUUAUCGGUUGAGCGGGCUCGGGCGGAAUCACAUCAAAGGGGGUCGCAGUGACCAACCCCGGACAACUAUUUACCAAAAACACAUGUCUCCGCACAGUCACAAGACCAUGUAUAGGGAGCCAGUGACCAAAGCCCCGUUGAAUGGCGAUCGUAACUACAAUGGUCCUAAGGUAGUAAAAUUCCUUGUCGGGUAAGUUCCAACCAGCACUAAAGGCAUAACGAUCUGGGCACUGUCUCGGAGAGAGGCUUGGUGAAAUAGACAUGUCUAUGAAGAUGUGGGCUACCUGUACCUAGACAAAAAGACCCUAUAAAGCUUCACUAUUCCCUAGGAUUGGCUUUGGGCCUUUCCUACGCAGCUUAGGUAGAGGGCGAAGAAGGCCUCCUUCCGGGGGGGCCCGAGCGAUUAGUGAGAUACCACUCAAGAAGAGCUAGAAUUCUUAACUUGUGUUAGCACCUAAGGGCCAAGGAACAGUCUCAGGUAGACAGUCUCUAUGGGGCAUAGGCCUCCCAAAAGGUAACGGAGGCGUGCAAAGGUUUCCUCGAGCCACAUGCAGAUUGGCCCUCAAGUGCAAAGGCAAAAGGGAGCUUGACUGCAAGACCUGCACGUCUAGUAGGGAUGAAUUCAGCCUUAGUGAUCCGACAGUGCCGAGUGGAAAGGCCAUCAUUCAAUGGAUAGAAGUUACUCUAAGGAUAAUAGGUUAAUCUUCCCUAAAAGCUCACAUCGAUGUGAAGAUUUGGCACCUCGAUGUCAGCUCUUUGCCACCUGAGGCCGUAGUAUGUUCCAAGGGUUGGGUUGUUAGCCCAUUAAAAUGGUAUGUGAGCUGGGUUCAAAACGUCGUGAGAUAAUUCGAUCCAUAUCCAGUGUGGGCAUUAGAGCAUUGAGAGGACCUUCCUCUAGUACGAGGGGAUUGGGAAAGACGCACCUCUAGUUUACUAGUUAUUGUGCCCACAGUAAACGCUAGGUACCCUAGUGCGAAGCAGAUAACUGCUGAAAGCAUCUAAAUAGUAAGUCCACCCCAAAAUGAGUGCUCUCCUAUUUCGACUUCCCCAGAGUUUCUGGUAGCAUAGCCAAGAUAGCGAUGGGUUUUCUACCCCUGCAGGGGUGGAGCGACAGAAGUUUUGAGAAUUCAAGAAAAGCUCAAGGCGAGACGAGCUGCUUAUCAUUACGAUAGGUGUCAAAUGGAAGUGUAGUGAUGUAUGUAGCUGAUGCAUCCUAAUAGACCGGUAGACUUGAAC
rnacentral:rRNA from 1 species